rnacentral:rRNA from 1 species
AUUAGAUACCCCACUAUGCCUAGCCGUAAACAUUGAUAGAUUAAUACAGCCCCUAUCCGCCCGGGAACUACGAGCACCAGCUUAAAACCCAAAGGACUUGGCGGUGCUUUAGAUCCUACUAGAGGAGCCUGUUCUAGAACCGAUAACCCCCGUUCAACCUCACCUUUCCUUGUUUUUCCCGCCUAUAUACCGCCGUCGUCAGCCCACCCUAUGAGGGUCUAAAAGUAAGCUAAAUUGGCACAGCCCAGAACGUCAGGCCGAGGUGUAGCGUAUGGAAGGGGAAGAAAUGGGCUACAUUCCCUAUAUUAGGGCAUACGAAUGGUGUGCUGAAACGCACAUCUUGAAGGAGGAUUUAGCAGUAAGCAGGAAGUAGAGCGUCCCGCUGAAAUUGGCUCUGAAGCGCGCACAUACCGCCCGUCACUCUCCCCAAAAAAUAUCCCCUAAUUAUUUAAAACCUUAAAGCAAUAAAGGGGAGGCAAGUCGUAACAUGGUAAGUGUACCGGAAGGUGCACUUGGAUCAAUAAC